GAGGGGCUCGCGGCCUAUCAGCUAGUUGGCGAGGUAACGGCUCACCAAGGCUAUGACGGGUAGCUGGUCUGAGUGGACGACCAGCCACACGGGAACUGAGACACGGUCCCGACUCCUACGGGAGGCAGCAGUGGGGAAUUUUCCGCAAUGGGCGAAAGCCUGACGGAGUGACGCCGCGUGGGGGACGAAGGCCUUCGGGUCGUAAACCCCUGUCAGAGGGAAAGAAGGGUGUCGGCGUGAACAGCGCCGGCAUUUGACGGUACCUUCAGAGGAAGCCCCGGCCAACUCUGUGCCAGCAGCCGCGGUAAGACAGAGGGGGCAAGCGUUGCUCGGAAUUACUGGGCGUAAAGGGCGCGUAGGCGGGAUGGCAAGUCGGUCGUGAAAUCCUUCGGCUCAACCGAAGAACGUCGGCCGAUACUGCCGUUCUUGAGGGAUGCAGAGGAGAUUGGAAUUCCCGGUGUAGCGGUGAAAUGUGUAGAGAUCGGGAGG
rnacentral:rRNA from 1 species